GGGCGAAUAGCUCAGCUGGUUAGAGCACCUGCCUUACAAGCAGGGGGUCACAGGUUCGAAUCCUGUUUCGCCCCCCA
rnacentral:tRNA from 1 species